UACGUAGGGUGCAAGCGUUGUCCGGAAUUAUUGGGCGUAAAGAGCUCGUAGGCGGUUUGUCGCGUCUGCUGUGAAAACCCGAGGCUCAACCUCGGGCCUGCAGUGGGUACGGGCAGACUAGAGUGCGGUAGGGGAGAUUGGAAUUCCUGGUGUAGCGGUGGAAUGCGCAGAUAUCAGGAGGAACACCAAUGGCGAAGGCGGUUCUCUGGGCCUGUACUGACGCUGAGGAGCGAAAGCGUGGGGAGCGAACAGG
rnacentral:rRNA from 1 species